rnacentral:rRNA from 1 species
GAUGAACGCUGGCGGCGUGCCUAAUACAUGCGAGUCGAGCGAACAGACGAGGAGCUUGCUCCUCUGACGUUAGCGGCGGACGGGUGAGUAACACGUGGAUAACCUACCUAUAAGACUGGGAUAACUUCGGGAAACCGGAGCUAAUACCGGAUAAUAUAUUGAACCGCAUGGUUCAAUAGUGAAAGACGGUUUUGCUGUCACUUAUAGAUGGAUCCGCGCCGCAUUAGCUAGUUGGUAAGGUAACGGCUUACCAAGGCAACGAUGCGUAGCCGACCUGAGAGGGUGGUCGGCCCACCGGGAACUGAGACACGGGCCAGACACCUACGGGAGGCAGCAGUAGGGAAUCUUCCGCAAUGGGCGAAAGCUUGACGGAGCAACGCCGCGUGGGUGAAGAAGGUCUUCGGAUCGUAAAACUCUUUUAUUAGGGAAGAACAAAUGUGUAAGUAACUAUGCACGUCUUGACGGUACCUAAUCAGAAAGCCACGGCUAACUACGU